UAUUUGGAUUCCGCUGCAACCCUGAAUAGGAUCGUUUCUUUUCUCUAGAAAAUUUUCUAUAUGCUGCACGCGAAUAGAUUUUUCUCUUGCUUUGCGGUUGUAAUUUCAAUUUCAAUUUUCAAUAAAAUCUGUGAACGUAAAACAACAGUUGCAGUAACAUCGACGCAUCCGAAGCAAUAGAAUAACAAAUAUUUAAAUAAAUUUCGAUUUAGUUUUGCAAUUCCGUGCGGAGUAAAUUACUAAAAUUUAAAUUCCUGUAGAAAAUGAGAACUUCAAGUGUGGCUCAAUAUGCGCUUCGUAUGACUUUCGGACAGGCCUCAACACAGUCCGCUAGCAGUGUUUUCACAACAGCCUCUCCUGACCGCGUUGUUCCACGUUCCGCUACGAUGAUGGCCGUCUUCGGAAUCGCCAUCUCUUCGUUUAGCUUGAAACAGAUGUUGGCCAGCAGCGGAGCUAAUAAAUCAUCCGAAGCUGCACUAACGCUGCGCAAACUUUAAAUAAAAAUACGCAUAAAAUGGCACUUCGUUUAAAAAUCAUUAUCAAUUUGAAUCAGACGCAGAAGCAGAGGGAGCAGAGGGAGCAGAGUCCAAAAGCAGUGGGGAGAUUGAAGUAACACAUAUGAUUGAAAUGUGAAAGCGAGGAGUUGAACAAUGGAAAAAUGAACUUGAAUAAGAAAAUUAAACAUUUUUAUAAGCAAUGCUAAACACAUUUGAAGCAAAGGAUUAUUAACCAAACCCAUGUGGAGGGGAAAAUAUGCAGGGAGAUUAACUCAAGAUCAGACUGCGUUGCAGCAAUAAAAAAAAUGAAAAUAUAAAAAUAGAAAACAACAGAAAAUGAAAGUGUUUUGGCUGUGUACAAUUAUAAAUUUUGUCAUCCAAGCAAACGUUUUCAUAGAUGUGGUGAAAGCGAUGAAACAACUUGAGAGCGGAAUUCAACAAUGCAUACUUUAAUGCUAACGUUUAACCUUAACUAAUUUCCAUACCUUCAGCUAUAAAGCUAUGAUUAAUUUUUGAAUUGUAGUCGUUUAGUAAUCAUCGUUUUCAUUUAUGCAAACAACACCAACUUCCCUUAAUUCAUUUAGUUCAUAGUUGUAUAUAAUUUCUAAUAUAUAUACAUAGUAUAUUAUGCAUACUUAUGUAAUUUUAAAUAUUUAGCUCUAAACAUAAAACUUUGCACAAAUUCAUUAUAUGGCACAUACCUAUAUAAAAUCAACAUUGUGAAUGUACUCUUCAUAAAUUUUCAUCGUGUUUCAUUAUUAUUUGAAAACCAACAUCAAGAACCUUAUGAUUUUGUUGUACGGAUAGUAGAGAAUUUAUAAUUUAAUACAACAAACACACAAAAAAAAACAUGAAAACGAAAAUUAUUAAGCAUCUUGCAAGUGAUCUUCAACGGAUUGCCAGAAUCAACAAAGUAGUUAAUUUUGUAAUCCAAAAGUACAUACAUACGUAUGUUUGGAAAUUAUAACUUUAUGUUAAUAAUGUAAUAUGUCUUAAACUGCAAAUGAAAUUUAUAUGAUUUCGAUUUUGUAUGCUAAAUGACGCACUUUGCACUUUGAAAUUAUGUGAUACUAAUGCAAUCGUCUUGCGUCACGCAUAGCAGAAGUACUUUAUGUAAUAAAAAUCUUUCAUACGUAGUGUAUAUUUAACAUCUAUAUUUUGUAAAUUUAUUUAUUCUGAAUUAAUAGUGUUGCAUUAUAUUUGCAUACAUACUUA
rnacentral:misc_RNA from 1 species